rnacentral:rRNA from 1 species
UACAGAGGGUGCAAGCGUUAAUCGGAAUUACUGGGCGUAAAGCGCGCGUAGGUGGUUUUGUUAAGUUGAAUGUGAAAUCCCCGGGCUCAACCUGGGAACUGCAUGCAAAACUGGCAAGCUAGAGUAUGGUAGAGGGUGGUGGAAUUUCCUGUGUAGCGGUGAAAUGCGUAGAUAUAGGAAGGAACACCAGGUGGCGAAGGCGACCACCUGGACUGAUACUG